AGCUGGUCGGCCCCUUUAGGGUCCCCGAAGGUGUAAAGAUGACCUCUGCAAAGUAUGUGGAGUUUCUGACUGACCACUUUCUUCCCUGGUACAGAAGGAAGAACUAUGCUUUUCGUAAUAAAAUCAUCUUCAUGCAUGACAAUGCACCAUCUCAUGCUGCAAAGAAUACCUCUGCAUCAAUGGCUGCUAUGGGGAUAAAAGGAGAGAAAGUCAU